AUUUUUUUUUUAUAUGUUUGGAUUAACCUAAAAUGUUUGCAAUGCAGGCGUGUGGUUCUUCCAGCGGAAGUGUUAAAGCUACUUGCAAAGAAUCGGCUUCUUUCUGAGGUUGCACCAGAUAUGGCCCUUGAAUUUUUGGCAGGAGCACCGUUUCAGCUCAUGUACGACAUGGUUAAGGUAGCGCUCCGGAAUACGAAGUUAUUCAGGUCUCAACUUAGGCAGCUGGAAAACAUACUCAAAAUUCUCCAGCCUCAAAUUCUUGAGCAGAUAAGACAAAACAAUGUGCAGC